CUGGAACUCGCUUCAUCCUCAACGAAUUCGACGGUUGUGGAGGAUAAUAGGCCUUAAAUGCAAAUCAUCGUAAUAGGUAACGCAAGAAGACGCUAUGCCUAUUCAAACCGGAGUUUAAGUCCAAAUGCCCUUAUGGAAAAAAUUCAUUCUUCUUAUCCCUUCUCUAUUCUCAUUAUCCAUUUGUUUUUGAAUUCCCUAUACUAACCUUUUUUUCUUUAAUAUAUUUCUUCUCCACCUCAUUAAUUCAUUUAAUUUUUCAAUUAAAUACAUCCAACCAAACACAACAACCAAAUGGAGUCCACAAACAACCUUAACCAAUCAGAUUUCUCUUGGCCCACAUAUCUUCAUGUUCCUCUUCUCUCUUCUCUCUCAGCGUGAAGAGCUCUUCUUCUCCACCCUUCAUUGGCGAUUUUAAAACUCGAACAUCAGGUAAUUCUUGUCCGUUUUUCAUGAAAUUUGUGUGAAAUAUCUUUUAAAUGUUUGUGUAAACCAUGGGUAACUUAAAAAAGUAAGAAUUGAUGAAAAUUUGAGACACUGCUAGCAGUUUGUAACACUGGAAAGAAGCUUGAAGAGGUGAAGGCAAAUGAAGAAAAAGGUCUUUGGUAUGCUGAUUUGGUGAACUAUUUAGCUUGUGGAAGAG
rnacentral:lncRNA from 1 species